rnacentral:rRNA from 1 species
UUGAACGCUGGCGGCAGGCCUAACACCUGCCAGUCGAGCGGAUGAAGGGAGCUUGCUCCUGGCUUCAGCGGCGGACGGGUGAGUAAUGCCUAGGAAUCUGCCUGGUAGUGGGGGAUAACGUCCGGAAACGGGCGCUAAUACCGCAUACGUCCUGAGGGAGAAAGUGGGGGAUCUUCGGACCUCACGCUAUCAGAUGAGCCUAGGUCGGAUUAGCUAGUUGGUGGGGUAAAGGCCUACCAAGGCGACGAUCCGUAACCGGUCUGAGAGGAUGAUCAGUCACACUGGAACUGAGACACGGUCCAGACUCCUACGGGAGGCAGCAGUGGGGAAUAUUGGAAAAAGGGGGGAAGCCUGAUCCAGCCAAGCCGCGUGUGUGGAGAAGGUCUUCGGAUUGUAAAGCAGUUUAAGUUGGGAGGAAGGGCAGUAAGUUAAUACCUUGAUGUUUUGACGUUACCAACAGAAUAAGCAACGGCUAACUUCGUG